rnacentral:tRNA from 1 species
GGGGUUGUAGCUCAGUGGAGAGUGCUUGCCUAGCAUGUAUGAGGCACUGGGUUCGAUCCUCUACACCA